rnacentral:lncRNA from 8 species
AUGCAACUCUGGAUUUUCCCUUCACAAAGAGACAAUGAGGUCAGCAGUGGUGCUGUGCUGCUGAAUGAACCUGUUGUUUUGCCAAGGGGGUCAUGGGGCCUAUGGAGGCAGGCUCAACCAGUUCUUUGUAGGGGGGAACAUCUCCAGGGAUACCUCCCCAAGCCACUGAUAAGGCAGGGGGGGGGGGGGGUAUCUUACCUGUGCCAACAGAGCAUCCACUUGGCAGACAGAACAUUAUUUGCUGAAAAUUGCAGCUUCAUGAGCAAAGGUCAUAAUAUUACGUCCUCAUAUCACAUCAAUCCCGGUCAGACUCAUUUUGAAUCCAAAGGUAUCACAUCUCUCAACAGGCGACCGUAGAAAUCAAUUCCAUUGAUUAAUUCUCAGAACAUUUUAAGCCGCUUCACCAAUAUAAAAGGACAUUUGAAGGUAAAGCUACAGACGAUGGACGAAAACACAAUGAAAAACACCAGUUCUAAGAUGUGCUAUUGCCUCUGUGUAAAAGUUGAAGAUCGAAGAGUUAGCGCUUAUUCUAAUAUCAAAAUAAACGGCCUUGAGGUUGGGUAAAAAUAACCAACACCUAUUUGGUAACAAAAUCGAUGCAUGACAUAAAUAGCAAAACCUGUUACACCUUAAUGCUUGUCAAUCAGCAUGAGCAGAUAGACUAACUGACAGGUAGGGGAAAUUAUAUGCGUAAUAUGCGCACUGGAAAAAUAAGACAAAUUAAAUCAAGCUUAUGGAGACCAUUCAAGUAAAUCAUGCAAAAAACAAACACCCCAAAAAAUCAAUAACAGGAAAUGUGACAGGAAAUAAUAACCCAGGAAAUGUUUGUUUGUCUCAACCAAUCUACGUAGUAAGGGUGGCAAUAGUACUGCAAUUCGACCAGAGAAGUUUGGUUCUAUGUCUCACAAUCAGAGUCACAGUAGAUAGAACUCAAUAUCCUUUCUAGUACAACACUUUCACUGCUGUGGUAACCUGACUAGUAGUCCUUCAGCCUUCAACACAUAUGGAGGUUUAAUGUAAUGACAGUUCACUGUGGCAAUUCGUGAUAAAACCAAUCAAACCACAGAAAUUAUCAACUUACUUUUCUUUUGAGGAAAGAAUAAGAUGAAAAACCUGCCCACACAUAGGAUAGUGUGUCUUAGUGUAUAAGUCCUACUCAGACGUAGCAUACGUACAGGUAGGUCUUCUCUAUCCUCCAGUCCAGGGGCACAUCCUCGGGUCUGUGGCUCUUCAUGUGUUUCUGCAUGGCUGCCAGGCUGGGGCAGAAGUCCUGGCAGAUGGUACACUGGUAGGGCGACGCUCCGUUGUGGGUGCGCAGGUGCUUGAUCAUGGCAGAGUAGUCCCUGGAUCGCUGGUGACAGAUCUUGCACUCAAAUGGCUUCUCACCUAUAGGAAUACAACGGCAUACUCGUGAAACCUUUCCUCGACUAUGUGCUAAAACCAGUGGUACUAUCUGACACACAUUGGUUUGACCUGUGUGUAUACUGUUAUUAACACAAAACAAUCUGACGUGGGAGUGUGUUAUUA